GGUUCCAUACUGUAGCGGUUAGCACGUCUGCUUUACAUGUAGAAGGUCCUGGGUUCACACCCCAGUGGAGCCA
rnacentral:tRNA from 1 species